AACAGAUCGGAGUGGUGCUGCACCAAAAGGAGGCCAGUCUUCAGGAGGAGCUUCUGGUGGCACUUCUCAGGAGGGUGAUUUUGAAGCAAAAGUAGCAAAGCUGGUGGAGUUAGGUUUUGGAAGAGAA